AUGCCCACAUGCAAACGGCCAAAUAUUCAAACACCAAAAUUGGUUCACUUUGCGCAGGCGUAGCCAAAAGCUUAUCCAAAGCAAUGCGAUUAAGGGGGCGUUAUACUCUUUAUAAGCAAUAGUUAUACGCUUUUUUUCCCCUUUUUCGUGGAGCUGGCAACUGUUUGUGGGCAAGUUUUCCGCUUUCCGUUACAUGCAUUUGGCCAAAUUGUGUGUGGGCUAACUGGCUCAGGGCUAAUUAAAACUCAGCGGCGAACAACGAGAAUUACAUGGACCAAAAUCAAAACUCUGUACAAAAAAAGCGAAAAACUCCAUUAGUCGGGCGAAAAACUUUUCAUUUCGCAUGUGAGAUCGGAUUUGGGUUCGGAUAUGACUAUGGAAUGGGAACAUGAGGGAACAUUUGUGGAGGUGUUUUACUCUCUGGAGGCCUUAAUCCCAGACAUCAAUCUCAAUUUAUAAAUAUCUCCACAAUAUACACACAUACGCAAAGCUCGUUAAGGUAAAACGAGUUUUGUUUUCAUUUUCGUUGACGAUCUUGGGCGUUUCUUACUUAUCGAAUCAAUUUCAAUUGAAAGCAAUUACAACUGAACGCUGACGCAUGUGCAUUGUCAUGCUGGAAGUGUUAUAUCUGAAGUAAGAUUAAAUGUUUUAUGUAUCGGAGUUGUUGAGGUCUUGACAAUACCAUCUAAAAAGAGAUUAAAAAAAACCCUUCAGCCUCAUAAGCUUUCAAACUUUGCAUUUUGCACUUUAGAAACGCCAAAAUCGAACCGCGAAUCGCUGAAAUCUUGAUAACUCCAAUAUUCAAUGAACCAGAAAACGCAUGUUGCUACUGAUCUAAAUGUAAUUUAUUUCCGUGGGCUGCGAUCCGAGAUUCUUUCACCGCUCGACAAUCCCUUGAACUGCUCACCGUCAGAACUUUAUAAUAGACAUACCCUGGGCACAAUGCGACAAGUAUUCAAUAGACAUCGCAUUCUAGUGUGCCUCCAUUUGUGUGUUAGCCUUUCUACUUGAUUAUUGUGCGGCACUAACAAUGCCCUCAGGCAUUGCGACGGCGACAUAAAUUUCGAUUUUUCAGUUGCCAUUGCAAAAAGUGCCAAAGGAGGGAGAUUGGGGGAAUAUAUCUAGUACACAUACAUAGUUCUGUGGGCCGCAGAAACUCCGUUGGCGGAACAGAAAUAGAACUACAAGUGACUGACA